CAGCAGCAGCCGCGGGAAUACCGAGGGUGCGAGCGUUAAUCGGAUUUACUGGGCGUAAAGCGUGCGUAGGCGGCUUCUUAAGUCGGAUGUGAAAUCCCUGAGCUUAACUUAGGAAUUGCAUUCGAUACUGGUUAGCUAGAGUGUGGGAGAGGAUGGUAGAAUUCCAGGUGUAGCGGUGAAAUGCGUAGAGAUCUGGAGGAAUACCGAUGGCGAAGGCAGCCAUCUGGCCUAACACUGACGCUGAGGUACGAAAGCAUGGGGAGCAAACAGGAUUAGAUACCCGCGUAGUCCCUGUCUCUUAUAC
rnacentral:rRNA from 1 species